rnacentral:sRNA from 1 species
UCGCAGAUCUGCGUCAUUGCCCCUCGAA